UAAGGUGAUUAUCACACAAAAAUUUGAAUUUUGAAAAGAUGGAAACAUCUUUCUUUA
rnacentral:tRNA from 1 species